rnacentral:lncRNA from 1 species
AUGGCUAAGUUCCUGCUUACAUUCCUGCUAUUGGGAAUUUCUCCUCUUGUGAUCUUCCAAGCCUUUGCUCUCCAGUGCAGAUUCUGUAAUGACUAUUUUAUGGGCAUCUGCACAGAUACGGAGACAACAUGCACUGCCAGUUAUGGUGCUUCCUGCAGGAGUUUCAGAUUAUCAGAUAAAAACAACAUGUCUUUCCCGUCUCUUGGAUAUAAUGAUUGUUCACCAGACUGCAAGCCCCAGUACACCACUUGGGAAAACUCUGCAUUGCUGGCAUUCUGCUGUAAUAGCCAUGAUAUGUGCAAUGAUGUUGGUGAGUUAGUUGAUCAAUACAUAGCAUCAGUACCUCACAUUUCUUUUUAGUUUAUUCUUGGUUGUUCUCAGGUUUCAUCUGACCUGAACUAGAGGUUUCCCUGAGUACCUGAAUUCCUGGAAUAAAGUAGCCAGAGGAAGACA